AGCCAUAGAUUCAGUAUCAAAGGACGUGUUUAUCCCGCGAUUCUACCAGCUAAGGACGAUACAGUGUCUGGCAGGGUGUUAUUUGGAAUCACAGAUCAUGAACUUUAUGUGUUAGAUGAGUUUGAGGAUACUGAGUAUGAAAGACAGAACGUUCAAGUUUUGUUAACUGAUAGUUCAGAGAAACUG